AGUGAACGCUGGCGGCAGGCCUAACACAUGCAAGUCGAACGGCAGCACGGCAGUAGCAAUACUGUGGGUGGCGAGUGGCGGACGGGUGAGGAAUACAUCGGGAUCUACCCUGUUGUGGGGGGAUAACGUAGGGAAACUUACGCUAAUACCGCAUAAGAACUGAGGUUGAAAGCGGCGGACCGCAAGGCGUCGCGCGAUUGGAUGAACCGAUGUCCGAUUAGCUAGUUGGCGGGGUAAAGGCCCUCCAAGGCGACGAUCGGUAGCUGGUCUGAGAGGACGACCAGCCACACUGGAACUGAGACACGGUCCAGACUCCUACGGGAGGCAGCAGUGGGGAAUAUUGGACAAUGGGCGCAAGCCUGAUCCAGCCAUGCCGCGUGGGUGAAGAAGGCCUCGG
rnacentral:rRNA from 1 species